rnacentral:rRNA from 1 species
CAGUAGCCACGGUAAUACGAAGGGUGCAAGCGUUACUCGGAAUUACUGGGCGUAAAGCGUGCGUAGGUGGUGGUUUAAGUCCGUUGUGAAAGCCCUGGGCUCAACCUGGGAAUUGCAGUGGAUACUGGGUCACUAGAGUGUGGUAGAGGAUAGUGGAAUUUCCGGUGUAGCAGUGAAAUGCGUAGAGAUCGGAAGGAACAUCUGUGGCGAAGGCGACUAUCUGGGCCAACACUGACACUGAGGCACGAAAGCGUGUGGAGCAAACAGGAUUAGAGACCCCCGUAGUCCCUGUCUCUUAUAC